ACGUAGGGUGCAAGCGUUAUCCGGAAUUAUUGGGCGUAAAGGGCUCGUAGGCGGUUCGUCGCGUCCGGUGUGAAAGUCCAUCGCUUAACGGGGGAUCCGCUUCGGAUACGGUAGGGCUUGAGUGCGGUAGGGGAAACUGGAAUUCCCGGUGUAGCGGUGGAAUGUGUAGAUAUUGGGAAGAACACCAAUGGCGAAGGCGGCUCACUGGGCCGUAACUGACGCUGAGGAGCGAAAGCGUGGGGAGCAAACAG
rnacentral:rRNA from 1 species